ACGUACCCCAAAGUGAGGAAUAACCGCUCGAAAGGGUGGCUAAUGCCGCAUAUGGUCUUCGGAUUAAAGGAUUUAUCCGCUUUGGGAACGGCCUGCGUACGAUUAGAUAGUUGGUGAGGUAAAGGCUCACCAAGUCUACGAUCGUUAACUGGUCUGAGAGGAUGAUCAGUCAGACUGGAACUGAGACACGGUCCAGACUCCUACGGGAGGCAGCAGUGAGGAAUCUUCCACAAUGGGCGAAAGCCUGAUGGAGCAACGCCGCGUGCAGGAUGAAGGCCUUCGGGUCGUAAACUGCUUUUAUAAGUGAAGAAUAUGACGGUAACUUAUGAAUAAGCACCGGCUAACUACGUGCCAGCAGCCGCGGUCAUACGUAGGGUGCAAGCAUUAUCCGGAGUGACUGGGCGUAAAGAGUUGCGUAGGUGGUUUGUUAAGUGAAUAGUGAAAUCUGGUGGCUCAACCAUACAGACUAUUAUUCAAACUGGCAAACUCGAGAAUAGCAGAGGUAACUGGAAUUUCUAGUGUAGGAGUGAAAUCCGUAGAUAUUAGAAGGAACACCAAUGGCGUAGGCAGGUUACUGGGCUAUUUCUGACACUGAGGCACGAAAGCGUGGGGAGCGAACCGGAUUAGAUACCCGGGUAGUCCACGCCGUAAACGAU
rnacentral:rRNA from 1 species